UCGAGUUUUGUCUGCCCUAUAAUCACUGCACGAUUGCUCUUGGAAUAUAGAUUACAUGCUUGAUGGGUGGUAUAGUCCUUCAGGUUCAGAUUAUUUGAUUUGCAUGGUGCAUACUAUAGAAAUUCCGUGCUGUGAUGUCGAUUAGAGGCGUCAAUGGGAAUUCACCACCGAGUUUGGACACCCCAUCCCCAUCCCCAUGAAGCUAUACUCAUCCUCAUCACCAUACCCAUACCCGUCAUGUAUAAGAUUCAUCACAUACCCAUCCACAUUCAAGUAUCGGGUCUCCAAUGGGUUCCCAUCACCGACAAGAAAAACAUUAUCACAUUAUAUUUUAUGACAUUAACAACCACACAACGUCCAACAACAAUAAAUCACCCAUAAAUCUUACAUGUAACAAAAAAAUAUUGUUUUAACUAUACAAUGAUACAAACAACAAAACACAAAGUGACACAUGGAUUGGUGGGCGGGUGACUGGUGGAUGACCGCCUAGGUUGGGUGGAUGCGUGCUUAAAAGGGUUGAAAGAGGUUGGGUUAGUUGUUGCGAUUAUUGCCAAAUAGGCUGCACACCUAAUUUUACUGAGUGAAUAUUACCCAUGGGUAAUUGGGUUCGGAUGAUUGCUUCCCAAACCCAUAUUCGCUUACCCAAUGGCAAUGUGUCAAAAUUUUAUCCCAUAUAUACACCCAUGGGACAAUUUUUGUCACAUACACUAACCCUAAUAGGGGAAUUUCCCACAGGUUAGCGGGUAUUUGGUCCUCAUUGACAUCUCUAAUGUCGAUCUGUAACCCAUAUUGAUGAAUUGUGGUGUCAUGGAGCCGAUUCUGCAUUUUGAUGCCGAUUCUAUAUAAUUUGUGUCUGCCUCUGGUCCCAAUUGCUUGGUAUCUACAGUGUACAUCAGAGUUUUGUGUUGCGAUGUUGAUCCACAACCCUUAUUGAUGAACUGUGAUAUAAUCAAGCGGAUUCUGUGCCUUUAUGCUGAUUUGUAUCACUUGCGUGUAGUCACAACUGAUUCUGAGUUUGGUUUCCAUAGUGUAUAAUGUGGGCAACUUGUGUUGCGAACUUGUGAUGUUGAUUAGCAUCCUGUAUUGUUGAGUUGUAGUGUAGCCAAUCGGUUUCCUUGUUUUGAUGAGGAUCCAUAUGACGUACUGUGAUACUGAUGAAUCAAACUGCUACCUGCAUGUUCUGAUGGCACUGCUAGCACGGUUUGCAGACACCAUGUACAUUUGUAUCUGUUGCACAACUUAGCUGUGUUUCAGGCUAUGGAGCACGGAUACACGUAUCGGUAUCGGAAGGAUACAGAUACACGGAUACGACAGUUUUCUAAAAAAUCUGAUACGCUUAUAUGUUUUACAUUUAUAAAUACAUAAUUAAUAAUACAUAUUAAAACAAAUAAAAAGGCUGCAAGCAAAUUUACUUUGCAUAUUAAGUUGCCUGUUGUCUGCACUCUUCAAUCUCUAAAUCUUUAUGUCCCCAAAUAUCAACAGACAAUAGCAGAUCAAUACUUCAACACUCAACACUCAACAGGACAGCAGCCAGUUGCAUUUCCACAAAGCAUUCCCUCCACCAGAUCCUACACCACUACUAGCAGUAGCACUAGCACUGCUCAAAUUUGGAGAAGCCAUGUACUAGAUACAACAUACAAGCAUGGAAAGCAGCAAGAGAAAGCGAGGAAAACCAGCUACACACUGCCCACGUCAAUGUGGCGGUGCGUGGGCUACUUGCGGGGCAGCGGCUCGUCGUCAGUGAGCAUUUCUUCCCUGGUGGCGGCCUCCUACAGCUGUGGCACACUAGCUCCGGUUGCGGCUCCGGUGGUCCGACUGCGGCUCCGGUCCUGCGUGGGUGGUGGCUAAGCGAGACUGCAAGAUAGACACGGUCGGGUGGGGGUAGCCCGUAGCCAGUGGGAAUAAAGUUUUUCAUCCUUGUUGGGCUGUGUAUUGGUCUGGGCUGCAUCCAAUUUGGUCCAAUACGUAUCCAGAGUCUAAUUGUGCAUCCAAUACGUAUCCAGAGUCAAAACAUGGACAUGGGAGGGAAACACCUCCGUGAAGUAUCCAAGGCGUGUCCGUUUUGGAUACGGGAUACGACCUCAGGGUGGAGUAUCCGUACUACAUAGAUUCCAAGUAGAUUCAUAGAUGCAAUCCAGUUUGUUUUCAUUCAAAUGCCCUCCCACGGUCCCACCUGCAGUGGUAGUUUAUUUUCUUGCAAAUGUCCUAUCCACCUGCAUUAAUAGUUCUUUUCUUGCAAAUAUCGCACCCACCUGCAGUAGUUUAUUUUCUUGCAAAUGUUUGACCAACUCACAGGUUGCCAAAUUGAUUACCAAAUUUAGAAGGGUUUUGUGUGUCUAAUAGGGAUCAAAGCUGUUUCUUGUGAUCUUGUCAUCCAAUAUAACAGCUCCUUGGAAAAA